CAGUAGCCACGGUAAUACGAAGGGUGCAAGCGUUAAUCGGAAUUACUGGGCGUAAAGCGUGCGUAGGCGGCUUUUUAAGUCGGAUGUGAAAUCCCUGAGCUUAACUUAGGAAUUGCAUUCGAUACUGGGAAGCUAGAGUAUGGGAGAGGAUGGUAGAAUUCCAGGUGUAGCGGUGAAAUGCGUAGAGAUCUGGAGGAAUACCGAUGGCGAAGGCAGCCAUCUGGCCUAAUACUGACGCUGAGGUACGAAAGCAUGGGGAGCAAACAGGAUUAGAUACCCGCGUAGUCCCUGUCUCUUAUAA
rnacentral:rRNA from 1 species